rnacentral:rRNA from 1 species
UACGGAGGGGGCGAGCGUUAUUCGGAAUUAUUGGGCGUAAAGGGCGCGUAGGCGGCUUGACAAGUCAAAGGUGAAAUCCCCCGGCUCAACCGAGGAAUUGCGCUUCAAACCGGCGUGCUCGAGGAAGAUAGAGGUGGGCGGAACUGAUGGUGGAGCGGUGAAAUGCGUUGAUAUCAUCAGGAACACCGGAGGCGAAAGCGGCCCGCUGGGUCUUUUCUGGACGCUGAGGGACGAAAGCUAGGGGAGCGAACGGG